GUAACGAUUAUUUGUAUCAGAACAGGUAAUGCUAGAUGCAAAAAAGGUUUUGUUUGGUUCCAACGGCAGGUUGCCCCACCGAAGGAGAACGAAGGUGCUCGUAUAAAAAGGGUUCAGAAAUGCGGCGCGUGAAGGUGUUACCCUUACCACCCGGGAGAGAACCCCCGGAGGCCGCGACCGCACCUGGUUGAGAUGGAUAAUGAUCCUUCCGCAGGUUCACCUACGGAAA
rnacentral:misc_RNA from 1 species